GGGGCUAUAGUUUAAUGGUAAAAUACGUGUUUUGCAUACACGGGUUGUCAGUUCGAUUCUGGCUAGCUCCA
rnacentral:tRNA from 1 species